AUCGCUUCUCAGCUUUUUGGCUAAGAUCAAGUGUAGUAUCUGUUCUUAUCAGUUUAAUGGUUAUCUCUUACCUCUCAUCAAAGUUUUAAAAAAAGCGAGUGUAUGUGAAAAUCAAAUCAGGCUUUGAAAAUUAU
rnacentral:snRNA from 1 species